AGUUUCACUCUUGUUGCCCAGGCUGGAGUACAAUGGUGUGAUCUCGGCUCACUGAAACCUGUGCCUCCUGGAUUCAUUCAAGCGGUUCUCCUGCCUCAGCCUCCUGAGUAGCUGGGAUUACAGGCAUGUGCCACCACGCCCAGCUAAUUUUGUAUUUUUAGUAGAGAUGGGGUUUCUCUAUGUUGGUGAGGUUAGUCUCGAACUCCUGACCUCAGGUGAUCCACUUGCCUCGGCCUCCCAAAGUGCUGGGAUUACAGGCAUGGGCCACUGCACCCGGCCUGUAUCUCCAAUUCUUUAUAUAUGCCUGACGAACUGCUAUUCCAUCUUGUAGGGCUAAAAUCAAAUGUUUUUUUCAUUUUUGGGAAGCCUCCUCUACAUACCUCCACCUUCUAACUCCAAGAAGUCAAAACAUUGGUACACCUGGUUCUUGGGCCUUUUGACUCAGACUGAAUCACACCACUGGCUUUCCUGGUUUUCCAGCUUGCAGACAACAGAUCAUGGAACUUCUUGCCCUCCGUAAUCUCAUGAGCCAAUUUCUAAAAUCAUGUGGGGCUCCCUUGGCAUCUUUGACUUGUAGAAAGUGUAAUAUGGAGUUUCCAGACUAGAACACAAGCUCCCUAUGAAGAGCAAGAAGACACAGAUGUUGACUUCCUCCAGCGUUGCUGACUCACCCCUUCCCUGAUCUUUCAUUUGGGUUGUGUUCCUCCCUAGCAACUUUUCUGAUGUAUUAAUGUCAUUCAUUCUUAGUACAUGACUGACCCAGCAUCUGUUCUUUUCCUAAUGAAUGAAGUGCUGGGAGAGAAGGAUAUUCCAUAGGGGAAAAAAGGAGAGCUGAGAAUGCACAGAAAUUUUCAUGUGCCAAGUUUGGAAGUGAAACCAGGACCCCUACCUGAUGGAAAAUGUCAACUGUUGUCACGUAGACCUCAGGCAGACUGGAACCAAAAAAUGGAUAAGGAAGUUCUUGAAAUUUCUCAGCUCCUAACUCACUUUUUUUUUGUUUUUUUUUAAUUAUACUUUAAG